rnacentral:rRNA from 1 species
AUGAGAACAGAGCCAGUGCACUGGGCAAGGGCUUUUUUUCCAGUGGGAUCCAAUUGUGAGUCUGUUGAUAAUAAUUUGUGUGAAUCCUUCAAUCAUGCAAUUGUUGAAGCAAGGUUUUAUCCAAUAAUUUCAAUGCAAGAAAAAAUAAGGAAAAAGGUUAUGGUUAGAAUUCAGGAACAAAGGGAAAAAGGUCUGAACUUCCAUGGAAAAAUAUGUCCAAGUGCAUUCAAGAAAUUGAAGAGCAGCAUUGCAAGAACCCAGUUCAUGGAAGUACUUUGGAAUGGCAAAGAUGGAUUUGAAGUGAAACUUGUCACUGGGAGAAAAAGGCAGUACACAGUGAGUCUUGACAACUGGACAUGUUCAUGUGGCUACUUCCAGCUAGCAGGUCUACCUUGUUCCCAUGCAAUAACAGCUAUCUACAAGUCUGGAAAAAAAGUGGAAGAUUUCAUUGCCCCUUGCUAUUUUGUUGAUGUUUUCAACAAAAUUUAUGAACAUUGUUUGAUGCCUGUGGAAGGUGAGGAAAUGUGGCCAGUUUUUGAGAAACCUAGGCCUCAAGCUCCAACAUAUGCAACCAUACCAGAUAGCAUGCCAGGCAGGCCUAAGAAUAAUGAUAGAAGGAGAGAAGAAAGUGAGAACCCUAAGCCUAGCAAAAAAAUGACCAAGCAUGGCACUGUAAUUAUUUGCUCAAUGUGUGGCACUGCUGGACACAACAAAACAGGUUGCAAGCAAAACCCAUACAGAGGCAAAAAGAAGAAGACUACCAAAAAAAGGGACACAGCAAAGGUGAGUUUUAUUUUUUCCAUGCAUUUCUCUGGAUUUAAAUGA